AUGGGUUUGGAACGACAUGAGGGUAAGUUAUUAAUGACAUAAUUUUGAUUUUGGGUGAACUAACCCUUUAAGGAAAUCGGGUCAUUUUGACUUCAUGUUGUGUUUAACAUUUCACUGUGUGUUUACAAUGUAAUACAAGUAAUUGUUUGGCUUGUAACUUUUCUAUCAUUUGAAAGCAGUGUUUGUGCUAAUGAUCAGUCGGGCCCAUUCUACGGCCGUAUAAUUGAUACAACUGCAAAUUAGCCUCUAAAGAGAUAAUGAUAUAAAAUCCAGAUUCAAUCAAAUCUGGUUCAAUAUGCACUUUGCUCCUUCAAGCAUUGUUUGCAUUCCCCAAGCAGAAAUGAAUCACUCUAAUAAUUCAUGAGCUUGCAGUGCCAAAAUGCUAAACGUGCCACGUGUGAUGUCUGCAGGAGAAAGGGAGGGCAAAAACAAACAGCACGCGUCCCGAGAUGAGUGACUGCUUGCGGAGGCCUUGGGAUCUCUGCUUCUGCUCGCUAGGAAUAGGAUUCUAGGUCAGCAAGGAAAUCCCAUUAUUACGGCAAGCCGUGAUGGAUAACUUUAACCCUACAUGCAUGUGCUUUUGCGCUUGCGUGUGUCUGUGUGCUUUUGUGUUAUUCGAACACUUGCAGAAAAUGUUUGAUGGUGUUUGCUAGCACAUGUAUGCUCGAAUAAGUUGCUAUUUACUCGGUCAGAACGUGAAAACAACUGCCACCCUUGGUGCUGAAUGGGACUGAUUGCUAGUCAGUAAGCAGGCGACGGAUGAUCACUGUUAUCUGGACGAGGCAGAAGGGCUGGGGGAGGGUGCCUGUACCUAACAGACACCCCAAAGGAAAAACCUCAACGGCUUGGAGGGUUGCAUGAAACCAAAACAAGAGGAAUGCAAUGAAAGACCUGAAAUUCAGUCCCGAGGAAGCUACUUUGAACUUUUGCUGAGCUUCUUGUAGUACAACUACAGUAAAGUAUUAUCAAAAAUAGUAAAUAAAAUGAGACCACUGAGAACACAGAAAUAACCAGAACUUCCCCAUUUAUAAUUAUAUAGAUGUGAACAGCAGUCUCUGACUUCGUGCUAAAGUUCAGAGAACCUAACUCGCAUUGAGCUCAGGACAAGAAUGAAGCAAGUGAACCACGCUUCCUUUUUCCUGCCUGGAAAAGGGAUGUGGAAAACUGUGGGGCUGUACACCUUUUUCCGGAUGUACGCAGACUACUGCAUGAUUGUCUAAAAGGAUGCAUGAAACAAUUUUUCAAAUUCUGGCUCAUAUAGGACAAGCCACUAAUUAUUUUAUCAGUAUGCUGUGCCCAAGAACAAAUAAAUGGCCAAUAUUAAAA